rnacentral:misc_RNA from 1 species
AAAAAAAAGGAAGAAAACCUCACUCUUUCUGUCGCCGGGUAUUUCUCCGGCGAUAUCUCCGGCGAAGGUAAUUUGAGUAGAAGGAAGCUUUGGAGUGUGUGUAUGGUUUUGCAUGGCUGGAGCUCGAUCUUUAUCUAUGGCUUCUGUGAGUAAAACGGCGUCCUAAGGUGUACAGUUGGUUCCUCUGGGAUAAUAGUUCGAGCUUUUGAGUGUGAAUCACACUCCUCUGAAGAGGGGAAGCGAGUCAAGUGAGUUGGUUUGUUCGACUCAGUGAUCUGUGAAUUGGAUAGCAGCGAAAAUGUCUUUCCAGCACAAAAGCUUUUGGAUGUCAAGAGAUGCAGGGUGUCUAACUGAUGGAGAGAUAGGUUAUGAUAGUUCCACAAGAAUUGAACCAAAGCGUGGACAUCAGUGGUUUAUGGAUACCAGUGGACCAGAAUUAUUCAGCAACAAAAAGCAAGCAAUUGAAGCUGUUGGUAAUAGGCCAGUUUUGGGAACUUCUCACAUGAACAUUUCUCCAUGGCAUAAUGCUUCCAGUUUUCAGUCAGUUUCAGGGCAAUUCAGUGACCGCCUGUUUGGGUCUGAGGCUGUGCGGACCGACAAUAUGGUUGAAAGAAAUGUUCCUUCUGCUGCUGGUGGAAAUAUGAACAUAAAUAUGGGAAGAAAGGAAUUCAAUGAUCAAUAUGGUAGCAAUUCCUCUAUGAGUUUGUCUAUGUCUCAUAACAUUGAGGAUCCCUCAGGAUGUAUCAAUUUUGGUGGACUCAGAAAAGUUAAAAUCAAUCAAGUUAGGGACUCCAGCAAUGACAUUUCUGCAUCCAUGGGGCACUCCUAUAGUCAAGGAGAAAACAAUGAAAUUUCAAUAGGCACUACCUAUAGUAAGCGUGAAAGCAAUGCCAUAUCUUUGGGUCCAACUUAUAAUAAUGGGGAGGCGAAUACCAUUUCAGUUGGUGCCGACUUCAGUAAGGCAGAUGGCAAUUUCAUUACAAUGGGCCAUACCUUCAACAAGGGAGAUGAAAAUUUCAUAUCGAUGGGACACAAUUAUAACAAGGGAGAUGACAAUAUCUUAUCAAUGGGUCAGACCUUUGACAAGGGGGACGCCAACUUUAUCACAAUGGGUCAAUCAUAUGAAAAGGAAGAUAGCAAUGUCAUUUCAAUGGCUCAUUCCUUUAGCAAGGGUCAUGAAAAUUUCAUUUCAAUGGGACCCACCUAUGAUAAAGCAAAUGAGAAUUUCAUUUCUAUGGGUCCCACUCCCUCCUAUAGCAAGGGAGAUGAUAGUAUCAUAUCCAUUGGUUCCAGCUAUGACAAGGCAGAUUCCAUCAUAACUUCCAUCUGUUCUGCCCAGGACAAAGAAGAUUCCAAUAUUCUAUCCAUGGAUCACAACUUUAACAAAGGUGAGAACAAUACCAUAUCUUUUGGAGGCUUUCAUGAUGAACCAGAUGCAAAUCCUUCUGGCACUAUUAUUAGUGGAUAUGAUGUGUUAAUGGGUAAUCAGAACUCAGCUCAAACUUCAGGAGUACCUGCCCCAAAAGAUAUUGUUCAGUCGAAUGCAAAUCCAACUGUAAAUAAUGCCCCAAAAGCUAAUUCAAAAUUUGAUAUGGCCCCCAAGAGCAAAGAUGCCAAGACGUCUAAGAAGGUUCCUCCAAACAACUUCCCUUCAAAUGUCAAAAGUUUGUCAUCGACUGGCAUGCUCGAUGGGGUUCCAGUUAAAUAUGUUUCAUGGUCAAGGGAGAAAAAUCUUAAAGGAAUUAUAAAGGGGACUGGGUAUUUAUGUGGUUGCCAGGAGUGCAACUUCUCGAAGGCUCUGAAUGCUUAUGAAUUUGAGCGUCAUGCUAACUGCAAGACCAAGCACCCCAACAAUCAUAUUUACUUUGAGAAUGGGAAGACCAUUUAUGCAGUUGUUCAGGAGCUGAAGAACACUCCUCAGGAGAUGCUGUUUGAUGCAAUCCAAAAUAUGACUGGGUCUCCUAUUAAUCAGAAGAAUUUCCGUAGCUGGAAAGCAUCAUAUCAAGCUGCCACCCGUGAACUUCAGCGUAUCUAUGGAAAGGAUGAAGUUGCCAUGCCAUCUUGAGAUGAAGAUCCUAACCCUGGAAUAUGUGGCCUUGUGUUCUGUGCAUAGCAGCAUAUAUAUUUGGUAAAUUAUCGACUUGCUUUGGGAUUUUAAUAAUUUUGAGGAGACAAUGUUUAUUAGAUUUGUAUAUUUUUCUUAAAAAAAAAUCUAAAAUCUAAUUUCGGAGAAUUAAAUAUGUUAAAAUUAGAGUUAACUAUCAUAUAUGUGUGUAAUUGGCACUAGAGGUGCCAUCUCCAUUUUAGCUGAGGUGAAAGGGUUUUGAUGGAAGUCAUGCGACAAGCCCCUUUGGGAAGCAUUACUGAUCCUCUAUUCACUAACCUGACGAUACUGAGUUUACUUGAAAGAGAAAGAUGAACUAUUCUCUUUGAUAGAUUGAAUGAAAUUCGCGGCAAUUUCUGCGACAUCUCCAUUGUUGGAGUGGCCUUGUUGUAGGGCGACCAUGUGAACUCCAUGGUACAUAUUAAUGGGAAUGCUAGUGAGUUCUUCAGUUUGUUCCAGAUUAUCCAGUUUGCUUUGAUUAAUUGAUCCCACCAAUUAAUAGUGAAU